GAUUUAAAGUAAUUUAUUAAUUUUUAAGUGAUUAAAUUAUAGUAUUAAAAAUAAUUAUAAAAUUUAAUGUUUUAGUAUUGUAUAAAGAAAAAAUAUUAUUAAUAAUAGUAAAAUAGUAUUGUAAAAGAAAAUUGAAAUAAAUUGAAAAAUAUUAAUUUAUAAAGAAAAUUUAAUUUAUUGUACCUUGUGUAUCAGGGUUAAUUAAAUAAAAAAUAAAAAUUUAUUUUUCUCGAUUUUAAAAGAGUUAAUAAAUUAUUAAAGUUAUUGUAAUAAAAUUAUUUUYAAUAAUUUAUUAGAAAUGAAAUGUUAUUCGUUUUUAAAGGUAUCUAGUUUUUUUAGAAAUAAAUUUAAUUUAGAGGAUUUAAAUUUAUUUAAUUUUUUAAUAAUUGAAUGAUUUAAAUUUUUAAUAUUUUACGGGAUAAGCUGUAAAAUAAAAUUCUAUAAAUUUAAAAUAAUUAAUAAAAUAUAUAUGCUUAGAAUUAGCAAUUAUUAACAAAACUGUUAUAAAUUAUUUAAUUUAUAAAAUUAUUUAUUAUAAUUUUAGGUAUUUAUAAAAAAAUUUAUUUUAAUUUUAAAAAUAAAGAUAUAAUGAUUAAAUUAGUAUAUUUAUUUGUAAUAAUAAUAAUAGAUGAAAAGUUUAACAAAAGAAUUCGGCAAAAUAAUGUUCGCCUGUUUAACAAAAACAUGUCUUUUUGAAGUAAAUUUAAAGUCUGACCUGCCCACUGAAAUUUUAAAUGGCCGCAGUAUUCUAACUGUGCAAAGGUAGCAUAAUCAUUAGUCUUUUAAUUGAAGGCUGGAAUGAAUGGUUGGACGAAAUAUUAACUGUUUCUGAUAAAUUUAUUAUAGAAUUUUAUUUUUUAGUCAAAAAGCUAAAAUUUAUUUAAAAGACGAGAAGACCCUAUAAAUCUUUAUAUUUAAUUUAUUUUAAUUAUAAAGAUUAAUUUUAUUAUAAUAAAAUUAAAUAUUUUAUUGGGGUGAUAUUUAAAUUUAAAAAACUUUAAAUUAAUUAAACAUUAAUUUAUGAAUAAUUGAUCCAAUUAUAUUGAUUAAAAAUUUAAGUUACUUUAGGGAUAACAGCGUAAUUUUUUUGGAGAGUUCAUAUCGAUAAAAAAGAUUGCGACCUCGAUGUUGGAUUAAGAGAUAAAUUUGGGCGUAGCCGUUCAAAAGUUAAGUCUGUUCGACUUUUAAAUUCUUACAUGAUCUGAGUUCAAACCGGCGUAAGCCAGGUUGGUUUCUAUCUUUAAUUAACUAAUAUAUUUUAGUACGAAAGGACCAUAUAUUUAAAUAAUAAUAUUUUAUAUAAUGAAUUUUAUUAAUUAAUUAU
rnacentral:rRNA from 1 species